rnacentral:lncRNA from 1 species
AAAACGUACUUUUCAAAUUUAUGACUCACCAGUUCGGCACAGACUUCAUCGAGGACAACCAAUAAUAUUUUUGUAAGACUCGCCUGUUUAGAAUCGUAUUUAAACUUCUUUUAAUAGAAAUUAUCAGCAUCCUUAUGCAACAAUUAAUUACCAUGAAUGACAAAAAUUGUGGUGCCAAAAGAAGAAAAAAAAAGAGUCGAAAUAAGGAUAAGAAUAUAAUAGAAAUAGAAGGCA